rnacentral:misc_RNA from 1 species
CGCACAUUGCACCUAUUGGUAUUCCGAUAGGUAUGCUUGUUCGAACGUCAUUUAAACUCUCAAGCAAAGCUUGGUAUUGAUGAACGUGUUUUCACAUCAUCGAAACUAGUUGGUUUGAUCGAUUGAAAUCCCAAACGUAACAAUGUCAUCGUUUGAUUCUGAUCUGGUCAACGCCAAUCAACCACAACUUCUUAAAGUUUGACUUCGGAUCAAGUAAGGAUACCCGCUGAACUUAA